rnacentral:rRNA from 1 species
AACGCUAGCUACAGGCUUAACACAUGCAAGUCGAGGGGAAACGACAUCGAAAGCUUGCUUCCGAUGGGCGUCGACCGGCGCACGGGUGAGUAACGCGUAUCCAACCUGCCCACCACUUGGGGAUAACCUUGCGAAAGUAAGACUAAUACCCAAUGACGUCUCUAGAAGACAUCUGAAAGAGAUUAAAGAUUUAUCGGUGAUGGAUGGGGAUGCGUCUGAUUAGCUUGUUGGCGGGGUAACGGCCCACCAAGGCUACGAUCAGUAGGGGUUCUGAGAGGAAGGUCCCCCACAUUGGAACUGAGACACGGUCCAAACUCCUACGGGAGGCAGCAGUGAGGAAUAUUGGUCAAUGGGCGAGAGCCUGAACCAGCCAAGUAGCGUGCAGGAUGACGGCCCUAUGGGUUGUAAACUGCUUUUAUAAGGGAAUAAAGUGAGUCUCGUGAGACUUUUUGCAUGUACCUUAUGAAUAAGGACCGGCUAAUUCCGUGCCAGCAGCCGCGGUAAUACGGAAGGUCCGGGCGUUAUCCGGAUUUAUUGGGUUUAAAGGGAGCGUAGGCCGGAGAUUAAGCGUGUUGUGAAAUGUAGACGCUCAACGUCUGCACUGCAGCGCGAACUGGUUUCCUUGAGUACGCACAAAGUGGGCGGAAUUCGUGGUGUAGCGGUGAAAUGCUUAGAUAUCACGAAGAACUCCGAUUG